rnacentral:misc_RNA from 1 species
AGAUUGAAAAUUCGGCGCGUGUAGAUCGACCUCCUCGUGUCGCGCGAACAUCGACCACGUGCGAUUAGAUCGAUCACGGAUCGAAACGUGUCGCGGAUCGAAACGACAGAAGAUAAGAAUACACGACGCGAAGCUCCCUCGCGUUCUACCAAGGCCACCUACCAAAUUCCCAUUGGGAUUAUCGCGACAGAUUAAGUGUCCAGACAUUCGAUGUAACACAAGGACCGUAUUAUUAUGGACGACGAUAUGGUUUGAUAGUUACUACGUGGUCUUGGAAAUAUUUGCUGUGAGUCGAAUGGGGCAGGAUUAGAAGAAACUUGAAUAUUUUACAUUAGCAAGAAUUUCAGACGGAGAGGAAAAUGACGAUAUUAAUUGGACAAUUAGGCCUGUGAUAAUUAUUUUAUAUUCUUUGGAAGUUUUGAGAAUCAUAUAAUUUACAGGCUGAGGAAUGAGAUAGGCUGUAACAUGUACAUCGAUAAGAACAUUUUUCCAAGCAUAUUAUGUACAAGUUUUCCAAAAUUCUGAUGGUGUUGAAUCUGUUUCAUUAAUAAAUUGAAUAGCCAACCAGAUAUUUUACUUAUCCUUGAAGAUCCAAUCAAAAGGAUUAUUGCUCUUGUCGUAAACUCGAUGAUAUCUUGUGUGUUCUCGUUGCAUUGCUCACAUUUUCGAAAGGUUUGAUUCAAAGCCAAGAUUUUGUAACAGGAAGCAAUUACGAGGUCGAAGGUGGUGUGCUGCUUCGACGAUAGCCACCGUUCGUGCACUUUGCUAGCGCGUUCCAUUCUUUUUUCCGUCUGUACAUUCCCGGCCGUUUCCACUUAACGCCAGAAUCCAUUUUCACGUCUAUUCGCUUAUUUCGCGGCUCACGUUGCUCCACAGUCUGUGCAUAUCUUUCCUUUUUCACUUCGAGUGUCGGUGCCUGUCUUCUCUUCUUUUUCUUUGUAUUUACCGAAGAAUUAUAGUUUUAGAGUUUCGAUCGUUUAAUCGUUCCAAAGGGAAAACAUCUUUUAAUAUCGAAUUUCCAUUUAUUACUUUUUGUUCACUCUUUAAGAAUUUUUAUUGUUAAUUACAGAUGUAGAAACAGUC